rnacentral:lncRNA from 1 species
GUAACAUUUUCUAACUCAAAACAAUUGAAUCAAAAACCAAUUUCAUUUAAACAAUCUAGCAUAAAGGGAAUGUCAUAUUCACAAUCUCUGUUCCAAUUUAAAUUCACUAGGAAAACCAAAGCUUGAACACUUCCAAAAAGGAAAAUGUUUCUCACUAACCUUGGAUGUUCUUCAGUCACUCUGGAACACAUGUUUCUUUAUUUAAUGGUGCAGCAUGAGAAUGAAAACUACCAGAACCAGGAAGUACCUCUCACACAAACUGGUUGAGGUACUCAUCCACAGUUGUGUAUUUGACAUCAGGAUAUAGCUCUGAAGCCUCCACUCCAAAUGAUGGCUUGAUCUCAAAGUUGGUGUGGUCUCCCUUAACGAAAACAGAGUGACAGAAUGCUAACAUCACAUUGAGUGGAACAGAGGCUUCUGCAAGAAACAGAGGAAAACCAUCAAUCUGAAGACAUUUACCAUCAUUAAAACAUCAACUAUAUGAACAGAGUUUAGGGCCAAAAAAUGGCCUCUGUGGUAAAAAAAUUAUCCUAUGUAGGAACCUUCCCUAACUUACCAUCAAACUAGAACUCUUGAUGCCACCUAGGCACAAUUUUUUAUUUUUUCCCUUUUUUAGUCAUAGGUUGAAACUGCAUUUUGAAAAUGCGGUUUCUGAUUUUAUGUGAAGCCACAUUUUGAACAAUGGCUUGAAACAUGAUCCAAACUCAAUAUCAUUUGACCAAAACAGGCCUUUUUUACCCAAAGUUCAUAUAAACACGUGAUACUUCCAAGUUCAACCAACUCCUCUUUCUUUCUUCUUUUUAUUCCCUUCUUUUUUCAAAUCCAAUGAGCAAUAGUGAAUUGUUAGUCUGUCAUAUGAAUCUCUUAGGAAGACCUUAAUCACGGUCUGGGGCAUGAUCACCAGAUUUUACCAGUAGGCCAGCUAACAUUUUCUAAGAAAAAAGAAUUGAAUCAAGAACCAAUUACAUUUUAACAAUGCAGCAUAAUGGGAAUGCUCUAUUCCCAAUCUCUGUUCCAAUUUAAAUUACUAGGAAAACCAAAGUUUGAACAGUUUCAAAAAAUGAAAAUGUUUCUCACUAACCUUGGAUGUUCUUCAGAACUUGCUCCUCUGGAACAUAUAUCUUCUCAAGGGUUUUUCCAAUCUUCUUUUCCCAUAAGGAGACAAUUUCGUUGAAUGAGUAGGUGUUCUGAGGAGGCCUGAUGUAAAGGAUUUUGUUCAAGGUUCUAGGAUCAUCCGCAGCUUUAAUGGUAUAGGUGCCAAUGUCAUCCUCCUUGUUAAAAACAGCUGGAGAUGCAAAAAUGAAAUGAGUAAAAUAGAGUAGAAUCAUCUUCCUAUUCCUUCAAGCUUGGACUACUCCGUAAUUCCACUUUUUUUGUUUACAGAACACAAACUUGAAAUUAUUUUGAUAUGAAACCAAGUUAUUGUUUUCAUUUAAUGCUCAUGUCAAAAACUCUCAGCUGGAGAGCAACCCAAGAGGACUGUCAAUAUAAAAAAAGAGGCUUUAGCCCAUCCAGUUCAGAUAAUAAUGAUUAAUUACUAGAAGUGCACAAUGGUUCCUCAGUUUGACCACUCCAGGUCACAUGGAUCAUGCUAGUUUCCUGUAUUAUGGCUCAAUUGCAAUGUAGCACCCAAGCAGUCAACCUCAACUGUCGGAAGGUUUUGUUUCUGGGUGAACGGGUUUAACCAGCUGGGGAAAGGGGGAGUGGGGUGGGGUUGUCCAGGUUUCAAAUAGCCACAUUCUGAUUUUCAGGAAUAUAGACCAUUCUCACCUCAACAACGCUGGCAACCCCAUCAAUUUUUUUGCCUGGAGAAGGAUAAUAUGCAGCUAUUGGUUGGUGAAAUGGUAAAUUACACUCUCAAAAGGAUUCCAUGCUCAUCUACAUAACCCGCUGAUUAGUAUUACUUUUUAAGCCCACUAUCAUCAGAUGUCACUGAUACAUGGACCGGUGCAUUCUAACAUCAAAACGAGAAAAUGCAAUGGGAAAUUAAGUUGUAUGAUUUUCAGAGGUUGCUUACCUUUUGGAUUCCCAUCUCCUAAAAUAAUAACUUUAUCCCUGGGGGGAGCGGUGGCUCCAGGCUGUGAAAAUGUAGGAAGGAAAAAGCCAGCAAAUGUGUUGGAGGACACAUAGGUGUAGGGAAUUCCUUCAGCCUCAAUAGUGCGGCGGAUUUGAGCCUUUAUCUCAAAGGCUGUUUUUGCUGGCUCAACCGCAUGUACACGGUCCACAUCAUUUCCAAACUCUGAUGGGAAGAAUCUCUGGAUGAAAUAAAGCACUUUAAGAAGAAGCUGUAUAACUCAAUAGAUUGAAAAACGGGUCAUAUCUAUUUAGUCAUAUUAGCUCACGACAGGGAUCCUAUAUGGGAUACACUUUGACGAACUUGAUACAAGUGUUCAGCAACCAUAAAGACAUACAAUUAGCAAUUCAAACGAUGGAAGGAAAGAGUGCACUGAUCAGGAUUCUUAAAAAGUGAAAGAAAAAACCAUGUAAGAAAUGUGAAAAAAAAAACUACCAAACUUCAUUCAUAGAAGGAAAAUGCGCACUAAUCAGGAUGCUUAGAAGAUGGAAGAAUAAAAACUAAAUGAAAACAGGAGAAAAAAAAAAAAAAAAACUUCAUUCUUGUUUAGUUGUCUUGCUGCUUUUUGAAGCCUUUUGUAUACCAUUUGUCUACAUUGGGUGUGCUGUCUUUUUUUGUUAGGCGCUUCUCUGUUAAUAUAGUUUGUUUUUAGCCUAUCAAAAAAAGGGGGGGGGGGGGGUGGUGGUUGUGGGUGUAUACAAUGGAUUGGAAGUGGUAUAGCAUGCCCCAUGAAAGGGAAUUAGUAUUUAAAAUUUUUUCCUUUUUACAUCAAAAAUUAAGAUUGACUUUAAAGCAUCGAUCCAACCUGAGUCAAUGCACAUGGAUCUAGACAAGAAUCAAGAUUGUUGAUCCUCAAUGAAUAUUGUAUAUAUGGAAUGUUCUUUCAUGCACUUCCAACAUUUCUAAAGAAGGUAUUAUUACAUUAUGCACAAAGGAUAAAGAUAUCACCAACAAAUUAUAACAAAUUCCAAUAAUAAAUAUCAUAGUACUCGGAUUUGCAAAGAAAAGAGGGAAUUAGAAAGAAGAAAAGGAGAAAAGGAGAGAAAUUUCGUCAAUUUGGACAACUUUACCUUGACAUUUCCAGCUUCUUUGAUGGCAGCAAUGAUCUUGACUUGAUCCGACAACUGUGCGCGACCAACGGUCGAGAUGACCACAUCCACUAGAUUAAUCGCCUUCACCAAACUCUCGUGAUCGUAUAGAUCACCCUGCAACAUAACAUAACCAAUCAAUAAACUAUUUCAUAACCCUAAUUCCCCAGUUAAGAAGUAAGAAUCCAAAAGCAGGUGUGUUUUUUCACUUUACUGAAACCAAAAUAACUUAAAACAUAAACAUCCGAACUUUUCUUUUCCUGAGGAUCGCCACUUUUUUCUUUCUGGAUGAAUGAAGAAUUCCAGUUUUCGUUUUUUUAGGAACUUAAACAUCCAAAAAUUCAAGAACUCCAAUUAAUUUCAUUCAUUUUCUCGGCGGCCAAAAGAAGCAAAAAUUAGAAAACCAAGAAUAGCGAGAAAUGAGAGCGAAUAUUACGUACAUACACCAAAGUCACGCCGGAGCUCUUGAAAAUCUCAAUGAUUUCCGACUUGGAAGGAUUCGAAACGGCGGAUUCUCUGACGAGAGCGAAGGUAGGGUGACCGGACUUAGCGCUGGCAGCGACGAUGAAUUUUCCGAUGUAGCCAGUGCCGCCGAUUAUGAGAAUCUUGCUCUUUUCGGACAUUGUGAGCUUUUCCGGCGAAUCUCCCGCGAGAAAUGUGGAAUUGAGAGGACUAAGCGAAAGGUGACUGGAGAGUUGGUGGGCACCAACGGCCAAAGACAAUGCUCUUGUAGGACAGAGCUCGAGGAUAUUAGGAUUAUGUAAUUACGGAACUAGCCUUGUGUUUUGGUGGUAAUCUCCGUUUUGGUUAUAUUUUGAAUGUGGCUUGAUUUUUAUGUGAUUCAUGAAUGUGUCAAAGUUCGCUUGUUUGAAAAUUGGUUUAGAUUGGAAAGUGAAAAAGUGUAUAUCACAUGAGAGAUUUAUAAAUAGAAAAAAAUGUAUUUUCACACACUAAUGUAAAAAUAAUUACAAAAUAAAAACUCUUUAAAUAAUUAUAAAAUAAAAACCCUUUAAAAAUAAUUUAAAUUUUAUGCACUCAUCGAGUACAUGAAAUGAUAAUUUAAUAUAGUUAUGUGUAACGACCCGCUCUCCCAAUAAUGACUCCCCUAGCUUUAAAAAAACGUCUUUAGGAUUAAGAUUGAUACUAUUUAUAAUAACUCGUAAAACCUAAAAAGGUCAUCACGACUUUAAAAUGCGUUUGCAAGAUUAAAAAAAAAUAAAAAAAAUUAUACUUAGAUAGUGUUAGGAACUUUCUCCCCUAUCUGAUGUGUGAUGUUACAAAUAUCCCCCAUGCAGACACAACAUCCUUGUUGUAUCUCAUGGAAUUGUGGAAUUAGAAUGAUAAUUUAAUGUAAUUAUGUGUAACGAUCCACCCUAUUUGAUGUGGGAUGUCACAAAUAUCCUCAUGCAGACACAACGUCUUUGUUGUAUCUCAUGGAAUUGUGGAGUUAAAAUGAUAAUUUAAUGUAGUUAUGUGUAAUGACUCGUUGUCCCAAUCAUGUAGAUAUUAUUCGUUUUGGACCCAAAAAAUGACUUUCCUGACUUUAAAAAAACGUCUAUGUGAUUAAGAUUGAUAUCGUUUAUAAUAACUCGCAGAACCUAAAAAGGUCCCCACGACUUUAAAAUGUGUUUACAAGAUUUUUAAAAAAAAUUAUACUUAUAUAGUGUUAGGAACUUUCUCUCCAUAUGAUGUGAGAUGUCACAAACAUCCCUAUGCAGACACAACGUCCUUAUUAUAUCUCAUGGAAUUAUGGAGUCAAAUAGACAAACACUCCCUAUGAGGCAAACAAACUCCCACACCGAAAUCAGAGAUCAAUUCCGAUAUUAUUUGUAACGAUCUACUCUCAAUUAUAUAAAUAUUGUCCAUUUUAAUCCGAAAGGGCAUUACAGUUUUAAAACGUGUGUACAGGAUUAAGAAAAGCCUUUACAUAUACAGUGUCAUGAUUUUUUUUUUCCUAUCGGAUGUGAGAUGUCAUAUUAUGAAUCCGUCAUUCUGUCUUUAUUCAUUUGUUGCAUUUAAGAUAUUUGAAAAAUUGAGCGAUUUUAUAAAAUGAGUUUUGAAAAGGCAUGAGAGAAGGAAAAAGAUACUAGUUUAAUUAAGGCUUACAACCCGGUCUUCUUAAAGGGUGGUUAAAUUCCCUGCCUAUUAAAUUUCUUAUCAGGUCGUUAGUCAAUGGAUCUAUUAAAUUCUAGUAUGACUUUGUAGAGUAGUAAUUACUCCAUGGGUGAGUAAUUAUUAAUAUGUAGCUGGGAUCAUUAGUAUAUUUUACUACAUUUCCAAUAGAAAAUGCUACCUCAAAUAAGUUACAUGUCUCCGCGAGACACUCAAGAAUUUCAGCAUAUUCCAAGACUUGACUUCCAAGUUAGCCAAAAGACAUGGAUAUGAGAUUUCAAUUGAAAUGAUUAAACCUUUUUAGAAUGUUUUCACUAUAAUUUCAUCGGCACAAAAAAAUAAUUAUAAAACACUAAAAUCUCUUUUAAAAACAUGUCUUUUAUUUUUAAAUUUAAACACUUACUCAUCAUUUUUAUUAGGAAUGAUAAUGAGACAAGUUUUUUUAGAUAUUUGUCUGCCUUGUUCUUAAUGAAAUGGGUUUAAAAUUUAAAUAAACGAAAUUAGAAUGAAUUUGGGAUUUUUUUAAAAACUUGGUACUAGCUAUUGUCUUUUCUCAUCCUAUCUAAAUUAUAUAUAAAAUUAAUUUAGUUUUAUUUUUAUUUCCCUAUUUGAUAUAUAUAUAUAAUUAUUUAUAAAAUACAUUUAUUUUAAUGUAAUUAAAUUUAAAAAAAUCAAAAUAAAUAAAUAAAUAAGACGAGAUGGGCAUGAAAAAUUCACAUACCUACCUUAUUUAAUUUUUUAAAUAAGAUAGAAAUGAGAAUUAUUUUGAAUAAACAAGAUAAGGUUGAAAUGAGAUCAACUCGUCUUAAACUAGUCUCGUUGCUAUCUCUAUUUUUUAUACUUUUUUAGUUGAAAGGGAUAAAUGAAUUAAAGUUAAGGAUUAAGAUUAAAUAUUCUACUUUACAAAAAAAAAAAUGAGACUAUUAAAUAUUAUUAGAAUUUUAUCAACUAGUCAUAAGAGUUUAAAAAAGAAAAUAUUGAUGAACAAUUCGUAGGAGGAAAUGAAUUGAGAAUAAAUUGACCUAGUGAACCUUCAGUUGCAUUGCCUCCUACUAUGUUCCACUUAUUCAGAAACGAAAGAGAAAGGAUGAGGGAUCUAUAACUAUAAGUUAAAAGGACAAAGGAUCAGGACAAAUAGAGGAUAUAUAUUAUGAGAUAUUAUUUCUAAUAGAAUAUGAUAUUUUAAAAUAUUGCAUUUAAUAUCAUUUAGAAAUUCUUCUCUUAUUUUUAUUUUAAUAAAUAAUUUUUAGUAUUUUAGUAAUAAUGUUUAUGAUUAUAAAUAAUAUAUAUAUAUAUAAAAUUAUAUUAUAUACUAAUAUGCUAAAUAUUUAAAAGCAUUACUAGUAAUUAAAUGAUACUAUAUAUUAAUAUGAUCAUUAUAAAUUUUAUUAUACAUAUAUUUUUUAAUUCUUUUAUUAAGAAGAAUAAAUUUAUAAUGUCAGUUAUACCUUAGGAUUGUUGUAUUUAACAUAUAGAGAUACAAAAGCGAGGAAAAAUGCAAAAGAAACUAUGAUUGAGUUAUUCUAUCAUUUACCGACCAAACAUGAUACAAAAUAUAUUAUCUCAUCUUUUAUCUUAUAUUAUAUUAUAUUCAACAAACUAAACAUAACAUAAUAGACCGACAUUCUAUCAAAUUUCUCGUAUUGUGAUUUUAAAACUUGAAUAGUUCAUGAACUAAACAUUAUUGCCUUUUCUUGUCUCAAUGGAAUAAGCGUUUUAAUUGUUCUAUAUGCAUUUCUUCAUCAAGCUCCCUCUUUUGAGCUAGAAAUAUUAUAUUAGGAGCUAGGUACUCCUUUUUGUAUAGCUCCAUCUCUAAUAAGGUACCAAAGAAGAUAAACUACAAAGGCAAAGAAAAUCUAAUUCCAGAAACUUCUACUUGCAUAAGAUUAGAAAGGCACAUUGUCCUAUUACAGAAUAUGCCCAAUGGCAUAGACAAGGAAAUAACCCACUAUUUUCCACACAACAUAUAUUAAGACAGCUGCACAUGUUUGCUUGUUUAGAUAGUGCAGCAUGACAGUGAAAACUACCAGGACCGAAGUCUACCUCUCAAACAAGCUGGUUGAGCAACUCAUCCACAGUUGUGUAUUUGACAUCGGGAUAUAGCUCUGAAGCCUCCACCCCAAAUGAUGGCUCGAUCUCAAAGUUGGUUUGGUCUCCCUUAAUGAAAACAGAGUGAUCGAUUGAUAAUAUUGCAUUGAGUGGAGCAGAGGCUUCUGCAAGAAACAGAGGAAAACCCAUCAAUAUGAAGAUUUUAGCCAUCAGAUCAACUAUAUAAACAGAUUUUGGGGCGAAAAUAGCCUCUAUAACUGAAAAAUUAUCAUAUGUGGAUACCUUCUUUAACUUAUUAUCAAGCUAGGCCUCUUCAUGUCACCUUGGAGUCAUUUAAUUUAAUUUUUUCCUUUUUAAAUGUAAGUUGAAAAUGCAUUUUGAAAAGAGUGUUUGGACACACGAGUCAAAAUAAUUAUCAAAUUGUAAAAAUAACCCUUUUUUCAAUUUUGUUGAGAGAUCCCAGCAGUCAAAAUAAUCAUAUAAUCAAACCCAGUCUUUUUCUUCCCAACCUUUUUUUUUUUGGCCUUAUCUUAAACUUGCUCUAUUUCUUUUUCAUUUAAGACACUCCAGAAAAACUCAAUCUCAUUUCAUAAUGUCCCACUGAAUUUUCUUAUCUCUCAAACAACUUCUCAUUCUCAUUCGUGAUGUUCACCUAAAGUGUUCUAUGAUUAAAUUUUAUUUAUUACGAAUUUAACUAAGGUGAAAUUUUCAUUAAGAUUGGUUAGCUGAAUUGCACUAGUGUUAUGUUUGGUUGUAAAAAACUUAGUUAGAGUUAAAUUUUCAAUCAUAAUAGUAAUAUGAACUCCACUAUGGUUAAGUUUUAUUUACAAAAAACUUAAGUGGGGUUAGAUUUCUAUUUCAUCUACAAAGAACCUGAUUAUGGUAACUUGAACAAUCCUCUGGUUAAGUUUCAUUUAGAAAGAACUUGAUCAGGGUUAAGUUUCCAUUUCACCUAUAAAGAACUUAAGUAAGAUCAAGGUCUUAAUUAAAAUGUUCAUUUGCAUUGAACUACCAAAACAUCGGACUUAGUAAAAACAAAGUUAGAUGAGAGAUCUAGUAAAUGAUAAGUUUCUAUCUGAUCUCGUCGUCAACAUUGUAGAAGUUCAAAUGAAAUUGCAAAAUAACCCUAAUAAAAAAAAAAUUAGAAAAAACCUCUAACCAAAAACAAUGACAAAAAACAAAACUAAAAACAAAGAGAAAGACGAGAUUCGAUCUCAUUUUCGUCACUAUAGAAACUUACAUGAAACUACAAAAAACCUUAGCAAAAAACAACGACGAAAAACAAAGAGAGAUGGAGAUCUGACCUCAUCUUCUAUAUUGUAGAAGUUCAAAUGAAGUUGCAAAACCCCUAACAAAAAACAACUCCUAAAAUUUGAAAUAGAUAAGGCUCUAAUCUUUGUUCAAGGGUUUGAACUUCACCAGAAAAAGAGAUAGAACAUGAACUUAGAGAGAAGGAGAAGGCUAGGUAUAAAAAAAUGGAAGGGGCAUUUUUGGAGGAAAGAAAGAAGAGUAAAAAUGUCCAAAAUUGGUCAUUUCUCAAAGGGAAGUCAUUAUUUCGAUUUUAAAAGCAUUUUAGUCGACUUCAAUCGAGGUCCGGGGCAUGAUCACCAGAUUUUACCAGCAGGUCAGCUAACAUUUUCUAAGUUAAAAACAAUUUAACCAAGAACCAAUUUCAUUUUAACAAUCUAGCAUAAAGAGAAUGUUCUAUUCACAAUCUCUGUUCCAAUUUAAAUUCACUAGGAAAACCAAAACUUGAACACUUCCAAAAAGGAAAAUGUUUCUCACUAACCUUGGAUGUUCUUCAGAACUUGCUCCUCUGGAACGUAUAUCUUCUCAAGGGUUUUUCCAAUCUUCUUCUCCCACAAGGAGACAAUUUCGUUGUAUGAGUAGGUGUUCUGAGGAGGCCUGACGUAAAGGUUUUUGUUCAAGGUUCUAGGAUCAUCCACAGCUUUAAUAGUAUAGGUGCCAAUGUCAUCCUCCUUGUUAAAAACAGCUGGAGAUGCAAAAGUGAAAAUGAGUAAGAUAGAAUAGAAUCACCUUCUUAUUCCUUCAAGCUUAGACUACUCUGUAAUUCCACCUUUUUUCUUUUACAAAACACAAACUUAAAAUUAUUUUCAUAUGAAACCAAGUUAUUGUUUUCAUUUAAUGCUUAUUUUUUCAAAAACUCUCAGUUGGAAAGCAAACCCCAGAGAACUGUUGAUAAAAAAAAGAGGCUUUAGCCCAUCCUGUUCAGUUUAAAACCCAAUAAUAAUUAUUAGUUACUGGAAAUGCAUAAUGGUUCCUUCAGUUCAACCCCUCCAGGUCACCUGGAUCAUGCUAGUUUCCUGGAUUAUGGCUCAACUGCAGUGUCACACCCAAGCAGUUGACCCCAGCUGUCCGGUUUUCAAAUAGCCACAUUUUGGUUUUCAGGAAUACAGACCAUUCUCACCUCAACAACACUGGCAACCCCAUCAAAUUUUCUGCUUGGAGAAGAUAAUAUGCAGCUAGUGGUUGAUGAAUGCACAUUCAAAUAACCCAUUGAUUAGUAUUACCUUUUAAGCCCACUAUCAUCAGAUGUCAUUGAUCAUGGGAGCGAGUGCAUUCUAAGGUCAAAAGAAGAAAAUGAAACAGAAUUUCAGUUGUUUUACGAUUUUCAGAGGUUGCUUACCUUUUGGAUUACCAUCUCCUGGAAUAAUAAUUUUAUCCCUGGGGGGACCAGUGGCUCCAGGCUGUGAUAAUCUAGAAACGAAAAAGGCAGCGGUGGCUUCAAGCUGUGAUAAUCUAGGAAGGAAAAAGCCAGCAAAGAAGUUGGAGGACACGUAGGUGUAGGGAAUCCCUUCAGCCUCAAUAGCGCGGCGGAUUUGAGCCUUUAUCCCAAAUGCUGUUUUUGCAGGGCCAACCGCAUGGAUACGGUCCACAUCAUUUCCAAACUCUGAUGGGAAGAAUCUCUGGAGGAAAUAAAGCACUUUGAGAAGAAGUCAUAUGACUUGAUAGAUGAAAAACCACUCAUAUCUAUUUAGUCAUAAUAGCUCACAGACAGGGAUCAUCCAUGGGAUACACUAUGAUGAACUUGAUACAAGUGUUCAGCAAGAAUAAAGUUACACUUAGCAAUUCAAAUGAUGGAAGGAAGAAGUGCACCGAUCAGGAUGCUUAAAAAGUGAGAGAAAAAACUAAAUGGAGAAGGUGAAGAAAAAAGCUACCAAACUUCAUUCAUGAAAGGAAAAAGUGCACCAAUCAGGAUGCUUAAAAAGUGGAAGAAAAAACUAAAAGAAAAAAGGUAAAAAAAAAAAAAAAAAAAACCCACCAAACCUCAUUCUGUCCUGAAUCACUUCAGUUUUAAUUUUUAAUUUUUAAUUAUUUAAUUAGUGCUCAAAACAUUUGACACUAUUAAAUUAGUCAUUUGACAUAAUGUAUAUGAUGUUAUCCAAUACCCUAUGUUUGUUGCAUAAGUAUAGUCUCCUUACACAUGGGUUCAAUAAAUUGAGAAAAUGAAUAAACGGUGAAGUUUGAACAAAUGAUUUCCAACCAAAAAAAGGAUCUUAUGCCAUGUUGGACAACCGAUUUACCUAAAACUUAAGUUGUUAGGAUUUAAGCCCACGGUGUAUAUCAUGUUGCCCAUCAGUAUCUAUAUCCAACGAAAGGUCAAGAACCUCCUUGAAACGAUCCUAUUCUAACUUGCCCCUAGCUGCCAAACCCUCAAGGGCAUUAGCCUAAGGGCACAAAGUCAAUAUAGCUCAAGAACCUUCCUGAGAUGUUCCUAUUCCAGCUGACCCUAGCGGCUAGAUCUUCAAGGGCAUUAGCCUAAGGGUGCAAAGUAAAAACCAAGUUUGAGAACCUCCUUGAAAGGACCCGAUUAUAAUUGGUCCCUGGCAGCUAGGCCUUCAGGGACAGAGCAUAUGAGUGUAAAGCCAUUCCAGGACAAGAACCUCCUUAGAAGGACCCCAUCACAAUAGACCCCUAUUGGAGCCUAAGAACAAAAAAUGAAUAAUCAUAUGAAGAAAUAAUAAAACAAAGCAUAAAAGAUAGAAGAGAAGAUAAAAAUAACAAUAUCCUAUGCCACCUCAUUGUCCCCUCCUUCCUUGGAUGAUGCCUCGCUUUUAUCAUUGUCCUCCUCAUCGAUUUCCCCCAAGGCCUUCAUUCGACCCAUGAGCUUGUCGACUUUCAAAAAAUGCUCUUGCAUUAUUGAACCUUAUGAAUAAAAUUAUCUUUUACCACUGUCCACAAAUGAUUUUUUUUUUAAAAGAAUGGCUUUGUCUUAGAGUUCUAUCCUUUUCUUUCUGUUUCUCAUGGAUAAAAAAAACCCCAACCCAAAUAUUUUUUUAUAACAAGGAUAAUUUUUUAUACCUAAAGAAUUAAAAUCGACUUUCAAACACCUAAGCGUUGAGACUCAACUCAAUCCAACCUCAGUCAAUUAACAUGGAUCCAGCAAGAAAAGAUUGUUCAUCCUCAAUGAAUAUUGUGAAGAUGGAAUGUUCUUCCAUGCCUUUUCAACACUCUCAACAUUUCUAAAGAUGGUAUUACUACAUCAUGCGCAAAGGAUAAAGGAAUUACCGACAAAUUAUUACAAAUUCCAAUAAUAAAAAUCAUAGGAACUUGUAUUUGCAAAGAAGAGAUGGAAAUAGAAAGAAGAAAAGGAGAGGAAGAGAUUUCGUCAAUUUGGACGACUUUACCUUGACAUUUCCAGCUUCUUUGAUGGCGGCAAUGAUCUUGACUUGAUCCGAGAACUGUGCGCGACCAACGGUCGAGAUGACCACAUCCACUUGCUUAAUCGCCUUCACCAAACUCUCGUGAUCGUGUAGAUCUCCCUGCAACAUAACAGAACCAAUCAAAAAACUAUUUCAAAGCUGUAAUUCUUCAAUAAGAAGUAAGAAUUCAAAAAUUGGUGUGUGUUUCCACUUUGCUGGAACCAAAGCAAAUCAAAACAUAAACAUCCAAAAUUUUCUUUUCUUUUCCUGCGAAACACUACUUUUUCUUUCUUUCUGGAUGAGUGAAGAGUCUCAGUUUUCUUUUUCUUAGGAACUUAAACUUCCAACUCCAAUGAACUUCGUUCAUUUUCUCCGCGGCCAAAAGAAACAAAAACUAGAAAAGAAAAAAUGGCGAGAAAUGAGAGCGAACAGUACGUACAUAUACCAAAGUCACGCCGGAACUCUUGAAACUCUCAAUGAUUUCCGACAUGGAAGGAUUCGAAACGGUGGAUUCUCUGACGAGAGCGAAGGUAGGGUGACCGGACCUAGCGCUGGCAGCGACGAUGAAUUUUCCGAUGUAUCCAGUGCCGCCGAUGAUGAGAAUCUUGCUCUUUUCGGACAUUGUGAGUUUUUCCGACCAAUCUCCGGCAAGAAAUGUGGAAUUGGAAAAGGCUAGCAAGCAGUAAGCAAUGACGACUGACGAGUAGUGCAGUACUGCAGUGUUCUUAUAUAACAAAGCUUGAGGCUAUAUAGAUUAUGUAAUUACGAAACUAGCCUUUUCUUUCAGCAGUAAUUCCCGCUUUGGUCAUCAUAUGUAUGUGGCUCGAUCUUUGUAUGAUUCACGUGUCCCGAUUCAUAUUUGUUUGAAAAUCGGCUUAGAUUAGUCCAAUUUACAAGACUACACCAUCUUUAAUUUGACAAGAGCAUAUAAUAUAUAUAUAUAUUGUAGCAAUCAUUAAUAUUUUAUUUUAUUUUUGGCACGUGUAAUUUUAUCUCUAGCUCCCAUAUCUUAUUUUAUUGCACACUUUUGACUCCGUUUGGCCAUAUUGAUAUAUAUCAUAGAUUUGCCUUAGAUUUUGGUUAAUAAAAUUUUAAUCAUUAUUGCACGUUUUUAUUCUCCACCCAUGUUUAAUAGUAUAUUUUAGAGACUUAUCGUGGAUAACCACCCCUUCACCUCUCCUACUGAAUUGUCAUUUGAUAUUGCUUGGGGAUCCCACAGAGUUGUCUAGUUGAUAGGUUGAUAAAAUUUACAUGCACGGUCAUUUUCAUGUCCUUAAAGCAAAUACAAAUUAAAAUGUGAUCGAUUGAUGCUAAGAUUUGAAUUUAUCUAUUUAAUAUAAAAUUGUCAUGGUCAAAUGUUUAUUGCUACUCCACGAUAGAAUGAUGAUUUUUAUUUUUGUGACAGUAACAUUUCAAAUUAUAAAAAACAAUGAAUUAAACAAUAUUUUUAUAUUCUUUACAAAAUCUUGGAUGUUUAAAAUUAGACCCUUUAAAUAGACACGUGACUUAAAUGGAAUACCAUAUUUGGGAAUGCACUACACUUAACUUGGAUUGGAAUAUAAUUCAAAAUGGAUAACAAUUAGGAAUGCACCAUGCUUAUUUGGAAUUAAGGGAGAGAGGGAUGACUGUUGGAAUCAUGAAAUGUUAUGGAACGGACCCCUUUUUAAAGAUGUAGAUGUCCCUUAAAGAAACGCUUCCAUCAAAAGAGUUGCACCUAACUAAUAAGAGAUGGGAAUGACUUCCAAAAAAUGUAUCACUUCAUGUUGGUGGCCUUUUUAUUAAACCUAGAAGCAUGUGGGGUUAGGCUCACACAUAUCUGGUGUGGCUUGUGCACAUGUGAGCCUAUGUUAGGCCCAAGUCCACAUUCAUCUAGUUGGAUAUAUGCAUAUGUGAGUUUAUGUAAAAACCCAUGUUUUCUUUUAAGCUUACAAAAUACUUGUAAAGUACCUUUUCGACUAGUGAUCUUCUAAGAAACGCUUCCAUCAAAAGAGUUGCACCUAUCUAAUAAGAAAUGGAAAAGGCGUCUAAAGAAGAUCUCACUUUAUGUUGUUGGUGACCUUUUUUCAAUGUUUUUAAAAUUGGACCGAUUAUUAAAUAUAAAAAAAUUACUCAUUCACGGUUCAUUAAUCGGACUGACAGUUGAACCAGUAACGUCAUAAAUAUAUAAUUUAUAAAUUAUUAAAAUAAAAAUAAAAAUGUAUGUAUUGUUUAAAAAUUAAAAUUUUAUUUGAAAAUCAGAAAAUUAGUUUUAAAAUUAAAAUUAAAAUUAAAAUCAUGGGGGGGAGGGGGAGGGGAGGGGGUUCGUUCUGCCAGUGAGAGAGCGACGUCCGACCAAUCAGCAAUUGACGAUAGUGGGAAGAAGCAGCUAGGGUAGUAGGGUAAGAGGGGUUAUUGGAAAAAAUAAUAAUAAUAAAAGAAAGGUUGAACGGUUCAAUGGUCAAAUCGUCGGUUCAAUCGGUCUAAUUCUGGUUUGACUACUUUUCGACCUAAUUCAUCAAACCAAACCGAAAUUGUGACUUGCUGGUUCGAUCCAAUUUUUAAAACCGUGUAUUUUUAUUAAACCUAAAAGGUGGGUGUAGGAUCACACCUAUCCAAUGUGGCUUGUGCACACGUGAGCCUAUGUUACGCCCAUGUACACAUUCAUCCAAUUAGGUCCAUGCAUAUGUGAGUUGAGGUUAAAAACCAUGUUUUCUUUUUACCUUACAAAAUACUUAUAAAGUACUUUUUCUGACUACUAAUCUUCUAAUGUGGGAUUGCUUUUUUCCACCACAUUCCACAUGAAUGCAUAGGUAACUUUGAGCUCAAUUUGUCAUUAACCCAUAAAUGGUUUUGAGUAUGUAAAUUUCUUAUCCACCAAUACCUACUCGUGCAGACGUUAUUGGUUAUCAUUUGGAGAAAGGUGUCCAACCUAUUGAUUGUUGUAAUUUAGAUUGUCCCAAUUCUAAUAGUUGUGGUUUUAAGGCCUAGAAUUGUUUCGUUGAUUCUCAUCUUAACCCUUCUCUUUAUUCAAUGACUUCCCUUGAAAGUAUUAUUUGAUGAUCUCCUAUCAGGGGGUUGGUCUCUUUCUUAUCUUCUCUUCUUUUUAAAUAGUCCAUUACCUUAUCAUGCAAUUCUUUAAAUGAGAUAGCAGUAUCACAAGCUCUCACAACAACAGUGGUCUCUUUGUAUUUUGAACCUAAUUCAUUGAGAGUGUAAACCACCAGAUCAUCAUUGUGCAAGAGUGAACUAAUAAUAGUAAGUUCAUCAACAAUACUUUCGAAGAUUUGGAUGUAUUCACUAAUAGUUUUUUGUUCUUUGAUCGUUUUUAUAGCCUUUCCCAUGAGGUUAGGAUGCAUGACCUUGAGUAAUUGGCAUUAAGUUUUUUUGGGUGAGACCAUGACUCUAAUGCCUUAGUAGCACAAACCACAAAACAAAAAUAGACUCCAAACUACAAUCUAACAUGAGAUGAAAUAACAAAUUAUUUUAAGGUUAAUUUUGUUGACUUUCCAUGAGGUUUUGACUAAAUAUAUUUAGUUCAUAUUAGUUUGAAAUUUCAUCAAAUACCUCCUCUACCCUUCUCACAAAUUAUUUCACUUACCUGUCUUCUAACUCAAAAUAAAGGAAGUAUUUGACGAUAUUUUAAAUUUAUAAAAACUAGGUAUAUUUAACCAAAACUUGAGGGAAAGUAAGUGAAAUUAACCUAAUUAUCUUACUUUUAAUAUAGCCAAUAUUCCAUAUCUCGUAUUGGUACUUUCCUUCUCCUUUCAAAUUGUUGUAGAAGGGCAAAGAUAUGACCGUUGUUACAUGUGCUAAAUCAUAGUAGUAUAUAAAGAAGCAUGCGGAACUAAACUCUUCACAAUGGAAAGUUUUUAAUCGUAGUUACAUCACUACAUCAAUCAACUCUGUGGUGCUAAUUUGGUAAAAUGUCAAAAGACUUUGACCCAUUAAAGGUAAAAAAGAAUAAAAAUAAAAAUUUGUUGUAGCAAUGGAUACUCUAAAACCAUAAAUACAAAGAAUUUAUAUAACCUAUCACUCGUAUUAUUUUACAUUGUAUAAGUUUACAAUAGAAAUGAUCGACUAAAUAUACAUUGGUAAUAUUAUAGCUUAGGGUCAAAUGUCAUGCGUUAUGAAUGUAAAGAAAAAUUGAACUUGAUGAUUUGGUUGAGCCUUUAUUUGCCAUUAAUAUAUGCCUUUAUGGACUGUCCACUGUAAAUUCCUUUCACUCCUCUCAUUGAAGAAUGAAACUCCACACUUUAUUCAAGUUUAAAAUGUUUUCUUGCAUAUUAAGGAGGAAAUUAAAAAAUAAAUAAAUAAAUAAAGGAAAGGAAAAUGAUCCGUUAAAAAACUAUAUUAUGAAUGUUAGAUAUCUUAAAAAACAAAAAAAUAUAUAUUUGUAGACCCCAUUUUGGGGAGCUGUCAUUUUUCUCACGUUUCCUUUCUUGCAGCUAGCUGUGGCCAAGUGUCACCAUCUUGCAUGGCCACGUGUCACUCCCGGAUUAGUCAAUAUGGGAUCAAAAUAGUGGAAUUGAUGGACCCAUCAGAGGAAGACACCUGGAAAGUGAAGAACAUUCUGGAAUCAGGGGAGCGUAUCUUCUGUUAUGGGAAGGUUGCCAGCUGCAGGAGUAGAGGAGUGGAGGCUGGUUGCUGCAGAGAGAGUGGAGGCUGGCAGAGGAGUGGAGGAGAGGUUUUGCUUUUGAAAAGGCCGUUAGAGAUAUUUUUAGGAUGAGGCAGCGGCAUUGAAGGGGAGAGUUUGGAGAGAUUCUUGAGGAGCAAGCUAGAUAUUGAAAAGAGAGAACGAGACAGAGAGAGCUGCAUUGAGAGGGAGGGAUUUCUUUUAAGCUGAGGCUGGUUGCUGCAGAGAGAGUGGAGGCUGGCAGAGGAGUUUUGGAGAGAAAGAGAAGGGUUUUUGGAGAGAAAGAGAAGGGGUUUUGGAGAGAAAGAGAAGGGUUUUUGGAGAGAAAGAGAAGGAGUUUUGGAGGGAACAGAGAGCUAGAGGGGGAGGAAAAACACUAGGAAGAAAAACAGAGAAAUCAGAAGAGACGGUUUUGGGUAGAGGAGGUUAUCAAGAACCAGAAGAAAAGGGCCUCCAGGUUCUUUUUGAGGGGUAAGUUUUCCACUGUGUUCUUGUUCUUUCUUUUUCUCUUCAUAUAUUGUUGUUGAGAUGCAUUGUUGUUGAUCUUUGGAUGGGUUAUACUCUGUUCUUCAUGGUUGACUGCUCCCCUUUUGCUUCUGUUUAUGGCUGAAAAUUGAUUUAAAUCCAUUUUUACCUUCUUUGUGGCAUUUUAAAGAAAGAAAAAGACCUUUUAAUUCACCCAUCUGCAAACCCACUAAUGAAGAGGUGAAGCAUAGUUCUUCAUGCUUCAUCUCAUUUUUCUUCCUCCAUGGCUCUGUUUUUGCUACUUUUCUCUCUGCUCUUCGUGUUUGGACUUUCUUGGAUAUGAAGCCGUAAUGGGGAGUGAGGCUAUGGGAUGACGAGACAGUGAGGGAUUUGGACUCCUUGAAUCCGUUUAUCCUGUAAAGGCUACUAAGGGCUUGGUAGAUCAAUGUUUGAGCAUAUGAACAGAGAGUGGUCUACACCGGGGAUACCAUUAUUGCCAGUGAUCCGUGUGGCAGAGGUUAGUGGGCUGUAGAGAGGGGAUCCUUUCUGACGGAGCAAAGGAACAAGAGAUGAAUUCAUGGGUUUUCUGAAUUGUUUUCACUAAGAAGGAGUUCACCCAGUACUCUUAGGCCUAAGAAGCUCGGCAUUUCUUUGCAAACAUAAGAAGCACAGGCUGGAACUAUGGAGGCCAUAGGUUUUACAUGGUAAAAAAGUGGGUUGACUGAGGAAUUGAGAAAGAAAUAAAGCAAGCAAAGCCGUCAUCGAAUGACGCCGGCGGCGAAGCGCCUCCACUUUGACUACGUCGUGCCCUCAGUUAUCGACUCUAACCACCGCUUCUCUAGUCUACGCGUGUCGCCGGAAGACUUGACGCUGAUCGUUUCUCUGCCUCUCUUUAUUUUCGGCUCUGUCAGGGGUCGAAACUCAUCCUCCGCUGGCGAUUGCGACGAGUGUCUCUCCUAGCUUAAGCCUCACGAUCAGCUUCGGCUGUUCCUGAUCUGCCGUCACGCUUCCCAUGCUCUAUACAUCAACACGCUGCUGGCAUCCAGUCAGGCAUGUCCUUGUAUCGUGUUCCGCAGGGAAUUCUGGGCCUGAUCUGCUCACUGUGGUGAGUGUCGCGCCAUGGAUUUUAACUGAUGGUGUCCCGACGAUUGACAAGAAGUUUUCCGGUGGAUGUGGUUCUUGGCGACGGAAGAAUCUUCGGUGGUGUGUCUAUGUACUUCGGCGAUCCUCUAAAGGACACUAAUCUCCCCAUUAGUUUACGCUGGUGACUGUGGAAGCAGAUUCCGCUUCAUCGGAAAACCCAAUCCUUCUCAAGUGCCUGGAAAAGCAGUCAUUUGUGAUCGGAACUUCACCUCGGCGCCCAAAGUCGCAGCGUUCUCCAACUGGUUUAGACAUCGACGAGAGACAAGUUGAUUUUAAUAUAAUUUCUGGCACGUCCAUUGCAUGUCCGUACGUGAGUGGAAAUAGCGACUGUGGCAGUGUACCCAAACGGCUUCACCACUCUCAAGCAUGAUGCUCUGAGAGUUGAAUUGAAAUGGAGGGGCGUUCUCAUAUUGCAAUUGUUGUUCCUAGAACUGAUGAGUCAAUCAGUAAAUUGGUUCAGCAACCUCAGAAGUUAAUAGAUCUCCGUGAGGUUCGCGAUAUUACUCAUAUGCCAUUUGCAGAAAGAGAUGACUGAAGGGAAACGGGUUCCUCUGAAUAUUACUAAAUUUGAUUAUGAAUGUUUGAGAAAGACCGCUGACAGUCAAGCAUAUUAAGGGGAUCCAUAUAAAGAAUUGUGGGUGUCCUUUGUUGACCGAGUUGGUCUUAGUCACAGAUAUCCUCAUCCAUGGCUGCUGAUAUAUCUCCUAAUUCUUCUUGAUGCUGCGGAAGAUAUUGUUGAAAUAGGAAAAACUGGGUGGAGAGAUCAAUUGUUACUCUGAUUUGAUUUUGGAUUGAAAAGGGAUGGGUUCAUUCAUGGAGCAUGUUCUGCCAGGAACGCUGUUUCUAGCAGUGAGUUUGUGGCACAUAUGCAGCGCAGUGGUGAGAUUUGUGAUGAACCCAAAGGGGUUUCAGGUUCGGGUUUUGAACCCAGUGUCUGGUUUUGAUGGAAGGCUUAGAUACUUGGAGCUUUAUGUGGUGGCAAUCGGAGCUUUUAUUGAUAUGUGCAUAGAGUUUUUGUAUUCAACUCAUCUCAAGUUCUUUGUGAAUGGGGUCUUGAACCCAUCUCACACGAAUGACUUUGAGCACUCUGGGAUGCUUCUCAUGUUCUUUAUUUUCGGGGUCGUCGCCUUGUUCUCCCAGCAAACCGGGCUUGUUCAAAACUGAAUAACCAAUGCUCAAUAGCCUUCACAUAGCUCCAUUCUGCCCUCACAUACUUCCAGCGCGUGACUUGUUUGAAUGAGAGCGACUUUUAUUGCCAAACAGUUACUUGGGGAACCGGUGACGUUACUCCUAUUGCAGGAUUGCUUGGCAAAUCUCAAUUCCAGAUUCACUUAGGAGGGAUCCUUGGCUGCUAAUUGGAAGGCUUCAAGACAGAAGGAAGCGAAGAGUGAUGAUACCAGGGAAGUGACUCAAUUAUCUACUCUACACUUGCCCGCUCAUGGCCCCAAAAUCUCAGAAGUGGUCAAGAAGUUGGAAGACUGCAUGUUCUGAAAUUGACCUAGCCUUUCAAAUCGGGUUCCCUACAUUGAAAUAAGAAGCAGUAGCAUGAGUUAUCCUCCAGAAUGGCUCUAUUCUCUGCAUGGUGCAUGGCCACCUUUGGGCCACAGUGCCAUUUCCCAUUUCACCAUCUCUAAUUUUGAAAAAUAUUCUUUUAAAUCCCAUUCUUCAAAUAAUUUUCUAGAUUUUAGUUUGUUUUAAAAUAAUUUCAAACUCGUCCACUUUUCAUCUUUAGUUUCUUUUUCUUAGAUUCCAAAAAUCCAUUUUUCCAAUAAAAUUUUGCUACCACUUUUCUUCCUAGCAAGCCAUUUUCAUAUCUCUUCUGUUUUUUUUAAAUUGUUUUGAAAUAAGCAAGAAUUAAUUCCGUAAUUCCGAAUAAUGGAAUUUAUGGAAUUAAUUCAUGCUAAGAUAAAUGGGCUUUGGUGGGGGCCCAACAUAUGAGAUUUUAUGAUUGAUUGACUGAUUGAUUGAUUCAUUAGCUAUAUGUGAUUGAUUUAUUCUGUUCCUUGGUAUACACAUUAUCCUUCUGUGUUUGUUCACUAACCCUGUUUCUGAUAGCACGUUACGGCUCGUGGCCCCGGUACGCACUCUCUAUACCUAUUCUGUUUCUCAUAUGUGCAUAAUUGAUUCGAGUAUUCAUUGCUUUCCUCAUCAAUUGCCACAUCAGCUUCAUUUUAUUAGUAGAGACCCGAUUUUAGGGACUUAGAGGGGUGCUAUGGUCUUUACCGUACCUUCCCGAUAAGUAACCUGACCCCCGAACCCGAUCCGGUUUUUCGUAGAUCACCUUUUCCAAAUAAGGAGUCACACUUAGGGUUUUUCUUUCUUAUUUUGUUUACCCUUUUAAAAAUAAAACAAAAAUACAGCUAAAAUCGAGCUCGCCAUUGAGUGGGAAACGCAUUGAGAUAGAUCGAAAUGCGGGGUCCACAACGCGUUCUUUUAUUCUCUUUAGUUUUAUAAAAAAGAUGGUAAAAAUGUAGUGAUCUUCUUUUAGUUUCUGUUUUAUAAGUGAGAGGGGACUAAGAUAGUAUUUAUUUUUUGACUGAAUAUAAAAAAUCAAAAUAUAUACAAAUUUACUUUAAUUAUAUUGGACGAUGUUAAUAGGUUACUUUUAGCUAAAUAAAAAAAAAAUCAAAACCUUAGAAAAAUAUUUUAAGUUUUAUUUACUCAAAUCAAUGUUUCCAAAAAUAUCCUUAUUGUCAAAACUGACUUAAAUGAAAAAUAAAUAAAAAAAUAUAAGCAAAAAACAAUUUAAUAGUUUUUAAAAAUAUUAUUAAAUCAUCAUUUGGUUCCCUUUUAUUCUGUCACUUUAAUUCUUUAAAACUAAAUUUAAUUCUUUUAUAACAAUAGAACAUAGGGGCCUAAGGUUGGAAAAUGACAAUUUACCCUAUUUGAAAAAAGAAAAAUUAUAUAUUCAUUUCUAGCCAAAAACAACUUUAUAUGUAAUUGUCAUUUUUUAUCAACCCCCACCGCUGAUGCAAAAGCCUUAACCUUGAAUGGAAUUUUAAUUUCAAAGACAUUUAGCACAUAGGAUAAAAAUUGUGCAUUUCAAUGAUCAAAGCUUCAUAUCUUAAAAGGUAGGUAAAUUUUAAAAUUCAACUAAGUUAUGUCUUCAAAAGACAAUAUUUAAUUGGAUUCUUUCGAGGUGUCAUAGAAUUAGAAAUAUUUUUUGAAUUAUUAUAUUUUAAAAAAUAUAUUUUUUUAAAUUGCCUUACUUUGUUCAAAAUGCCAAGAAGCAGGCAUAGGAACUAUAACAAAGCUCCAUCUCUAUUAGGGUACCAGAGAGGAUGAAUUGAAAAGGCUAGGAAAAUCUAAUUCCAGAAACUUCUACUUGCAUAAGAUACAGAGUGACUACAGAAUAUGCUCAAUGGCAUAGACAAGGAGGCCACACAUGCUUGCUUAUUUAGAUGGUGCAACAUGACAAUGAAAACUAGCAGGACCAGAAAUUACCUCUCACACAAACUGGUCAAGGUACUCAUCCACAGUUGUGUAUUUGACAUCGGGAUAUAGCUCUGAAGCCUCCACUCCAAAUGAUGGCUUGAUCUCAAAGUUGGUGUGGUCUCCCUUAAUGAAAACAGAGUGACUGAUAGAUAAUAUCACAUUGAGUGGAAAAGAGGCUUCUGCAAGAAACACAGGAAAAGCCAUUAAUUUGAAGAUAUUUGUCAUCAUUAAGAUUAUGUUUGGUUUCCAAAAAAUUUGAGGGAAAAUGCAAGAAAAGAAAAUAGAGAGGAAAAGUGGAAAGAAAAAAAAAGAAAAAAAAUAAAAAAAAUGGAUUCAAAAUCAAUAAAUUAUUUUUAAAUGCUAUUUCAAACUCAUUUCACCCAUUUCCCCCUAUUAUAUAAAGAUUAAACAAUUUUAAAAUGUAUAAAUUUUUAAUUAAUUUUAAUUAUAAUUUAUUUUCUUUCAUAUUUUCUAUAAUGAAACCAAGCAUGAGAAAACUAUUUUCUUUAAUAUUUUUUUUAUUUCCUUAAUACUUUCCGAGAGCCAAACAUAGUCUAAAAGAUCAACUAUAUAAACAGGGGCCAAAAAAUGGCCUCAAUGGUAAAAAAAUUAUCCUAUGUAGGAACCUUCCCAAACUUAUUUUUCAAACUAGAACUCUUGAUGCCAUCUACGCCCCAUUUUUAUUUUAUUUUUUUCCUUUUUAGUCAUAAGUUGAAAAUGCAUUUCUGAUUUUAUAAAGAAGUCAAAUUUUGAGCAAUGGUUUGAAACAUGACCCAAACUCAAUAUUAUUUGACCAAAACAGGCCUUUUUUUUAUCCAAAAUUCAUAUAAACACGUAAUGCUUGCAAGUUCAACCAACUCCUCUUUCUUUCUUUUCUUUUAUUCCCUUCAUUUUUCAAAUCCAUUGAGCAACUGCAAAUUGUUAGUCUGUCAUAUGAAUCUCUAAGGAAGACCCUAAUUGAGGUCUGGGGCACGAUCAAAUGAUUUUACCAGCAGGCCACCUAAUAUUUUCUAAGUUAAAACAAUUGAAUCAAGAACCAAUUUCAUUUUAACAAGGUAGCAUAACGAGAAUGUUUCAUUCCCAAUCUCUAUUCCAAUUUAAAUUAACUAGGAAAACCAAAGUAUGAACACUUUUAAAAAAAGAAAAUAUUUCUCACUAACCUUGGAUGUUCUUCAGAACUUGCUCCUCUGGAACAUAAAUCUUCUCAAGGGUUUUUCCAAUCUUCUUUUCCCAUAAGGAGAGAAUUUCGUUGAAUGAGUAGGUGUUCUGAGGAGGCCUGAUGUAAAGGAUUUUGUUCAAGGCUCUAGGAUCAUCCGCAGCUUUAAUAGUAUAGGUGCCAAUGUCAUCCUCCUUGUUAAAAACAGCUGGAGAUGCAAAAAUGAAAUGAGUAAAAUAAAGUAGAAUCAUCUUCUCAUUCCUUCAAGCUUGGACUACUUGGAAAUUCCACUUUUUUUGUUUGAAGAACACAAACUUGAAAUUAUUUUGAUGUGAAACCAAGUUAUUCUUUUUCAUUUAAUGCUUAUGUCAAAAACUCUCAGCUGGAAAGCAACCCAAGAGGACUGUCAAUAUAAAAAAGAGGCUUUAGCCCAUCCAGUUCAGUUUAAAAUCAAAUAAUAAUGAUUAAUUACUAAAAAUGCAUAAUGGUCCCUUCAGUUCAACCACUCCAGGCCACAUGGAUCAUGCUAGUUUCCUGGAUUAUGGCUCACUUGUAAUGUAGCACCCAAGCAGUUGACCUCAACUGUUGGAAGGUUUUGUUUCUGGGUGAACAGGUUUAACCAGCUGGGGAAGGGGGGAGUGGAGAGGGGUUGUCCAGGUUUCAAAUAGCCACAUUCUGAUUUUCAGGAAUACGGACCAUUCUCACCUCAACAACACUGGCAAACCCAUCAAUUUUUCUGCCUGGAGAAGAUAAUAUGCAGCUAUUGGUUGGUGAAAUGGUAAAUUAACACUCUCAAAAGGAUCCCAUGCUCAUUUACAUAACCCACUGAUUAGUAUUACUUUUUAAGCCCACUAUCAUCAGAUGUCACUGAUUAUAUGAGCCAGUGCAUUCUAACAUCAAAAGGAGAAAAUGCAAUGGGAAAUUCAGUUGUUGGAUGAUUUUCAGAG